GUAGACUACAUACUGCAACCUUUUGUUUUGAAGUCACGAGCUAGCGUGUGCGUGCUUCUGUAUAGACUUAUUGUAAGGUGGUCUAUUCAAUUGGUAACACAGAAGUAUUCGCUUGACUUGGACUGCGAGUAGACUAUGAACUUGUGAAAUACCUGAAUUUCUUUGUUUAAUUGAAGUAUUUUAGUCAAGUGUUUCCAUAGUUCUGUUUCUUGUUCUUAUUGACCACAGCAUCCAGACGACCCAGAAGCAACCCGCCGAGAAACCUCACAGAAGAAACAACAAUCAACGAGUCCAGUGCUAACUACGAAUCAUCAACACCCUACGUCAACCACUAAAGUACCACACAGACCAUGCCGUUUUUUAUAAACAAGUUGACCCAAACAAGCCCCAGCAGAAAAACCUUAACAUCUGACAAAGCUACCCAGACAGAACCUACUGAAGUCUCACAUAUAGAAACAAUGACGGAAACACUCAAGACGAAAUACCACAA